rnacentral:rRNA from 1 species
UACGUAGGGUGCGAGCGUUUGUCCGGAAUUAUUGGGCGUAAAGAGCUCGUAGGCGGUUUGUUGCGUCUAUCGUGAAAACCUGCAGCUUAACUGUGGGCUUGCGGUGGAUACGGGCAGACUUGAGUUCGGUAGGGGAGACUGGAAUUCCUGGUGUAGUGGUGAAAUGCGCAGAUAUCAGGAGGAACACCGGUGGCGAAGGCGGAUCUCUGGGCCUUGCCUGACGCUGAGGCGCGAAAGCUAGGGGAGCGAACAGG